AAAAUUUUGGGAUGGCCAAAAGGUUUGUUUUUCCCUAAGAUGGCUCUAGUGUCACUUAGUUGUCUUUAACUUCAUUUGAAACAAUUUUGUUAGAUUGUAUGUGACAGCUGUCAUAUCAGCAUGCAUUUAAAAAAAGACAUCAAAAUUGGGCUUCCCUGGUGG